rnacentral:rRNA from 1 species
AUCCUGGCUCAGGAUGAACGCUGGCGGCGUGCUUAACACAUGCAAGUCGAACGAAGAUGCCGGAGUGCUUGCACUUUGGCAGACUGAGUGGCGGACGGGUGAGUAACGCGUGGGUAACCUGCCUUAUACAGGGGGAUAACAGUUGGAAACGACUGCUAAUACCGCAUAAGCGCACGGUAUCGCAUGAUACAGUGUGAAAAACUCCGGUGGUGUGAGAUGGACCCGCGUCUGAUUAGGUAGUUGGUGAGGUAACGGCCCACCAAGCCGACGAUCAGUAGCCGACCUGAGAGGGUGACCGGCCACAUUGGGACUGAGACACGGCCCAGACUCCUACGGGAGGCAGCAGUGGGGAAUAUUGCACAAUGGAGGGAACUCUGAUGCAGCGACGCCGCGUGAGUGAAGAAGUAUUUCGGUAUGUAAAGCUCUAUCAGCAGGGAAGACACGUGACGGUACCUGACUAAGAACGCUCCGGCUAAAUACGUGU